AAUAAGAUAAGAUGUAUUCAUUAAUUGAUUCCUUUCUUACAAUAUCUCAUACCAUUUAUAGUUCCUACAAUUCCCUAACUAGGGUUAACACCUCUGCCACUUUAGUAUUGGACUGGAUAUAACAAUUGGAUAGAAAUAUUGGCCUACGCCUAUACUGGAUGGCUUGGGUCUGACAAAGAUCCUUCAUCAAGAGCAUAUGAUCGAUCUUCUUCAUUGCGAAAUUGGAAAUCGAGGGCAAUUUCCAUCUCGCCUUUGAGUUUCCAUUUUUUAGAAAGAGUUUCGUUGACUAUAGAAAAUAGAAGCUUUUUAUCAAGAAAGAAACCAAUUAUACGUUGCU
rnacentral:lncRNA from 1 species